rnacentral:tRNA from 1 species
UCUCGCCGUGGGCGACGGCGGCACCCACGGACUGGAAAUCUGUGUCGGGCUGCUGACCCUGCGCCUGCCGUUCUUCCAGGGUUCGCUGCGUGAG